GAGGACGAAGAAAAAUCUUCUACCCUUUUGUAAGUUGGUGCUUUUCUCUUCAAUUGGCAAAUUCUAUUUAAUUUGUUUUAUAUGUGAAACUUACACUCUGAUUCUUUAUGCACAUGAAAUGAAAUUACUGAGUUAUGAAGAUUAAAUGACUAAUAAUUUAGCCACUCUAUUCCAUUGGAAAUCAGCAAUACAAACAUGGACUCGGUAAAUUUUUUUCUGUCAUUAUUUUAUUUCAAUCAACCAAUCAACUAUGUAGAGUACUCAUUUUCCUUUUAUUUUUAACAACUGAAAAUUUAUUUUCCUUAUGAUAAAAUUUUCAGGAAUUUUCUGUGUUCUUAACAAGUGACAUGAUAAUGGAUAAGAAACCAAAACAAGAUUUCUUGGAAGCUGUUUUAUGUUUUGAUUGGCUCGACAUAAUUCGUAUUUGAAGAUCAACUUCUGCAGAAGAAUUUUUCACACUUCGGAUUACAACUAUGGAGACUGUUACCAGAAGAUUCAUGCAAAGGACAUUGAAUGAUGAGAUAUAGAGUACUAGCUGCCCAACAAUUUUGCCACUAUUUCUUCUGAAAUGAGUAGCACAUAAACAUUGAUUCAGAUAAAUUUUGUUGGAAAUUUCUUUGUGGCUUGUGUUCUUGACAAAUGACAUGACAACGGAUAUGAACUCUGAAUGAUUUUGAGUGGUCUUUCACUUUCUCCACAUACAGUGGUUAGUUCCCUGAACUAAAAUUCUAACUAAUCGGAAAGUGGUGAACAAAUGCAAAGGGUGUCAAAUCCAUUGGCAGAAGUUAUUAGGGACUAUCAGAAACCAAACAAGAUGUCAUGGCAGCAAUUACUUGCAACCCAACUUCUUUUGAUAUGCAAAAAGCUGUAACAAAUUGGUGGAA
rnacentral:misc_RNA from 1 species